CGCCAAGAGCCAAAGAUGCCCUGCGAAGAGCUACGGCGGGAGGGGCCCGCUGGCAGCCUUAUGGUUCCCCACACCCCGGCUCGCUGAAGCUUCUCACCUCCUGGGCACAGCCGUAGGCCAGCCACUCCUGUCGGUAGCGAUCAAAACCACUGGAGCAUCUGCCAGGGGACCAGAAGAGGAGUCCACCAAGCCCAACUCAAGCUCUGGGACAUGUGCAUGGGAAGAAUAAUAUCAUGAGCCACCACUGCUGAGAAAGGAUUCAUGGCCAGUUAAUUUUCUUCACUAGCAACCGCCCACCCAUCUGCCAGAGACCUGGACUGAACCUUUGAUGUAAGUCUAAGAACAUCACAUUCUAAGACCUGAGCCAACCAACCCAGAUGCAGAGAAGAAAGGCCUGAGAUAUGGCCACUAAUGAGCGCCUCCUGAAUGCCAAGUGCCGCCCCAGCCAUAUGCUGCUCCUGUCCUGUUUCAUGGGACCCUCCCAGUGACACUGGAAAGCAAGGAUUAUGGCCCCUCAUUCCCUGGGCCAAAUCCUGGAGUCACCCCAAGACUCCAGAGUGGGCCCUUGGCGGGGUGGGGGCAAUGUGGGAUGAAAGGAAGACAGCGGCCAUGAUUUAUUUAUUUGAGAGAGAGAGAGAGAGAGAGGGCACGCGUGAGCAUGAGGAGGGGCAGAAGGAGAGGGAGAGAGAAAAUCCUCAAACAGACUUCAAGCUGAGUGCAGAGCCUGCCACGGGGUUCGACCCCAGGACCCCAAGAGCAUGACCUGAGCCGAAACCAAGAGUGGGAUGCUUAACCGACUGCACCACCCAGGCGCCCUGAGGCAAUCUUUCAACAACUAUGUAUUGAGCACCUGCCACAGACCCUGUCCCAGCUGCUGGAGAUACAGUGGUGAACAGGGAAAGACAGACAGACGCACUGCCUGCCCGGAGCCUGGAGUCUAGAGCAGGAGACGGCCUACAG